GAAAAAAAAAAAACUGAAAACUCCAAGUAUACAGGCUGAAAAACCCAAAAAAAAAGCAAAAGUUUGCUUAGAGAGUUUAAAAAUCUAGAAAAAUGCUACUGUUUCACUGAAUGAUCUCUGAAAUUCUUGUGGGAUCUACUCUAUCACAAAUUUUAAGCAAGCUGAUAGCAAAAAUGAGCUGAGAUAUAGGAGGUAUCCAAGUGUUGGGAUCAUUUUGGUCGAAAACUGAUUUGGUGCGUUGAGUGACCUUGUGUGAAUUUGAAAUUGUUCAAAGUAG
rnacentral:lncRNA from 1 species